GAUGAACGCUGACAGAAUGCUUAACACAUGCAAGUCUUUGGCGAAGCUGUGCUUGCACAGCCUAGCCAAGGCGGACGGGUGAGUAACGCGUAAGGAACUUGCCCUGCAGUCAGGGAUAACAGACGGAAACGACUGAUAAGACCUGGUAAAGUCAGGCGGACUCAUGUCCAGCCUGAUGAAAAGAGAUGCUGCAGGAGAGCCUUGCGUCCUAUUAGCUUGUUGGUGGGGUAACGGCCCACCAAGGCAAUGAUAGGUAGCCGGCCUGAGAGGGUGGACGGCCACAAGGGGACUGAGAUACGGCCCUUACUCCUACGGGAGGCAGCAGUGGGGAAUAUUGGACAAUGGGGGCAACCCUGAUCCAGCAAUUCUGUGUGCACGAUGAAGGUUUUCGGAUUGUAAAGUGCUUUCAGCAGGGAAGAAAAAAAUGACGGUACCUGCAGAAGAAGCGACGGCUAAAUACGUGCCAGCAGCCGCGGUAAUACGUAUGUCGCAAGCGUUAUCCGGAAUUAUUGGGCAUAAAGGGCAUCUAGGCGGCCAGAUAAGUCUGGGGUGAAAACUUGCGGCUCAACCGCAAGCCUGCCCUGGAAACUAUGUGGCUAGAGUACUGGAGAGGUGGACGGAACUGCACGAGUAGGGGUGAAAUUCGUAGAUAUGUGCAGGAAUGCCGAUGAUGAAGAUAGUUCACUGGACGGUAACUGACGCUGAAGUGCGAAAGCUAGGGGAGCAAACAGG
rnacentral:rRNA from 1 species